GGGUGGUGUAAGAUGGACCCGCGUCUGAUUAGCUAGUUGGUGAGGUAACGGCCCACCAAGGCGACGAUCAGUAGCCGGCCUGAGAGGGUGGACGGCCACAUUGGGACUGAGACACGGCCCAAACUCCUACGGGAGGCAGCAG
rnacentral:rRNA from 1 species